CGGUAAAACAACGGUUUCCGUUUGAGCACCGAGGUUAAGCAACGUGACGUAUGGUCUGUACCUAGAUGGGUGACCGCUUGGGAAUAUCAGCUGCUGUAAG